CAGCAGCCGCGGUAAUACGUAGGUCCCGAGCGUUGUCCGGAUUUAUUGGGCGUAAAGCGAGCGCAGGCGGUUAGAUAAGUCUGAAGUUAAAGGCUGUGGCUUAACCAUAGUACGCUUUGGAAACUGUUUAACUUGAGUGCAAGAGGGGAGAGUGGAAUUCCAUGUGUAGCGGUGAAAUGCGUAGAUAUAUGGAAGUACACCGGUGGCGAAAGCGGCCCUCUGGCUUGUAACUGACGCUGAGGCUCGAAAGCGUGGGGAGCAAACAGGAUUAGAUACCCGCGUAGUCCCUGUCUCUUAUACA
rnacentral:rRNA from 1 species